AUACGUAGGUGGCAAGCGUUGUCCGGAAUUAUUGGGCGUAAAGCGCAUGUAGGCGGUGCCUUAAGUCUGUCGUGAAACUGCGGGGCUUACCCCCGUAUGGCGAUGGAAACUGUGGCACUUGAGUGCAGGAGAGGAAAGGGGGACUCCCAGUGUAGCGGUGAAAAGCGUAGAUAUUGGGAAGAACACCGGUGGCGAAGGCGGCUUUCUGGACUGUGUCUGACGCUGAGAUGCGAAAGCCAGGGUAGCGAACGGGAUUAGAUACCCCGGUAGUCCUGGCCGUAAACGAUGGGUACUAGGUGUGGGAGGUAUCGACCCCUUCCGUGCCGGAGUUAACGCAAUAAGUACCCCGCCUGGGGAGUACGGCCGCAAGGCUUAAACUCAAAUGAAUUGACGGGG
rnacentral:rRNA from 1 species